UUGAACGCUGGCGGCAUGCUUUACACAUGCAAGUCGAACGGUAACAGGCCUUCGGGUGCUGACGAGUGGCGGACGGGUGAAUAAUGCAUCGGAACGUGCCCAAUCGUGGGGGAUAACGUAGCGAAAGUUACGCUAAUACCGCAUACGCCCUGAGGGGGAAAGCAGGGGAUCUUCGGACCUUGUGCGAAUGGAGCGGCCGAUGUCAGAUUAGCUAGUUGGUGGGGUAAAGGCCCACCAAGGCGACGAUCUGUAGCGGGUCUGAGAGGAUGAUCCGCCACACUGGGACUGAGACACGGCCCAGACUCCUACGGGAGGCAGCAGUGGGGAAUUUUGGACAAUGGGCGAAAGCCUGAUCCAGCCAUUCCGCGUGAGUGAAGAAGGCCUUCGGGUUGUAAAGCUCUUUCAGGAGGGAAGAAACGGUUGAGGCUAACAUCCUUGACUAAUGACGGUACCUUCAGAAGAAGCACCGGCUAACUACGU
rnacentral:rRNA from 1 species